UAAGAUAUAAUUAUUAUUCUAGCAACUCCUCUUGUCAAGUAUGAAAUUAUUUAAUCUCACGUUUAAUUGAAUUUUUUAUUCCAAAAUUAGCAAUCCAUGAUUAUUUAACCACACUCCUAAAAUCCAUUUAAAAAGUUAAGGUCAAAUAGAAAAAAAGUGAAGGGUUAAAAAUACACUAAUCUCAAGUUUUGGGGUUAGAAAGGAAAUGAUGAUUUUGGAUGAGGAUAAAUUUCAGUUUUUGCUCACUGAGAUGAAAGUCAAGCAAUUAGGGCUUUUCAGGGGAAAGGAAAUCGCACUGAUUUUUCACACAAGCAAUAUGUCUUGACUAUUUGCCAAAAGAGGUCUCAGGCCAACAUUGGGGGACCUCCUUUAACUAAUUGGAAGAACAAAGUUUCUCAAGGGAGUCAGGAGUGCAUGGAAAUAUAUAUUUUUUCCUUUUUUGGAUAACCGUAGUGUGUGAGCCAGCUUGCUCGUACCUCAGGAGUGCAUGGAAAUCUUUUUUGCCAAAUUUCUAUGAUGUUGAAUGCUUGGUAGUUACAAUCCUAAAGACCACUUUUAUGAAUAGAAUUUUGUUUCCUUAUCGUAUGUCAUGCCAGCAUUUCUUUAAAGUUCAUUGUUCAUAACAGCAGGAUUCAGUAAUGAUUUGCUAAUUUCUUCAUCUUCA